rnacentral:rRNA from 1 species
UACGUAGGGCGCUAGCGUUGUCCGGAAUUAUUGGGCGUAAAGAGCUCGUAGGCGGCUUGUCACGUCGGGUGUGAAAGCCCGGGGCUUAACCCCGGGUCUGCAUUCGAUACGGGCUGGCUAGAGUGUGGUAGGGGAGAUCGGAAUUCCUGGUGUAGCGGUGAAAUGCGCAGAUAUCAGGAGGAACACCGGUGGCGAAGGCGGAUCUCUGGGCCGAUACUGACGCUGAGGAGCGAAAGCGUGGGGAGCGAACAGG